GAGUCUCUCUCUUUCACUUCCUAACGUGUACACCCCGUCAACCCUGACAUUUCAGCCUCAGAAGCUCCGAGAAAGCCCCUUGGGGAAUACUCUGCUCCUCCCUUUCACUGGGCAGAUCGACCAGCACAGGACCCAGCAUUAGAGAGCUUAACAGCCCCAGACCCCGCAGGCUGGGAGAGCUUCUGGGCGUCCUUCCGUGGGGUCCCAUCACCUCCCUAAUGGAGGCAGACUGGGUACCAGGACCCUGCGGUGAAGCCGACUGGGGAGCAGCUUCCUCCAGCCUCUCCAAGCACAGACGUCAGCGGCGAGGCUCAGACUUGGUGGCUGUGCUCUGUCUCUGCACAGGCUUGUGUACGCGCAGCGGGGGACCCACGCAGGGGACCGGGGUGGGGAAGCACACAGGAGGAAAGUGUAGAGUGGAUGCAAGUGGCGGUGGUGAUGCUGGGGCAGUGCGAGCGGACAGCGGCUCUCCUGGAGUCUCCACCCCUCGGUGGGCUGGCGUGGGACCUGGGAACGGACAGUCCACGUGGAGGGGCAGCUACUCAGGGCUGCCCUGCCGGGGGGGCGGGUGGUGCUGUCAGGCGGGGGCUGCCUUCAGGGUGGAGUUGUAGCAGAGAAGUGGGGUCACCCCCCUUGGAAGCUUUGAGAAUGCGUAUGAGGAGGGGGCUGCGAACGGAAUCCGGAAAAGCAUCUCUGGUUCAGCCUAGGGUAUGGUUCGAGGUUGCAUCUCUUGUAAACCCCCCUUCAGCUGCUGUCAAGGGCUGGCACCCGAGUUCUUGAAUUGAGGCUGAUGUGGGUCCUGCUAGAGCCUGCUGUCAUCUGCACAUGU